AGGAGCGAAGUGAAGGGAAACUUUCAUGCUUCGUUCUGAAGACCAGUAGGGAGGGCGACUUCCCUGCUGAGUUUAAC
rfam:Halothece sp. PCC 7418, complete genome.